rnacentral:rRNA from 1 species
CCUACGGGGGGCAGCAGUCGAGAAUCAUUCACAAUGGGGGAAACCCUGAUGGUGCGACGCCGCGUGGGGGAAUGAAGGUCUUCGGAUUGUAAACCCCUGUCAUGUGGGAGCAAAUUAAAAAGAUAGUACCACAAGAGGAAGAGACGGCUAACUCUGUGCCAGCAGCCGCGGUAAUACAGAGGUCUCAAGCGUUGUUCGGAAUCACUGGGCGUAAGGCGUGCGUAGGCUGUUUCGUAAGUCGUGUGUGAAAGGCGCGGGCUCAACCCGCGGACGGCACAUGAUACUGCGAGACUAGAGUAAUGGAGGGGGAAGCGGAAUUCUUGGUGUAGCAGUGAAAUGCGUAGAUAUCGAGAGGAACACUCGUGGCGAAGGCGGGUUCCUGGACAUUAACUGACGCUGAGGCACGAAGGCCAGGGGAGCGAAAGGGAUUAGAUACCCGAGUAGUC